rnacentral:rRNA from 1 species
GAAUUUUAUAUAAAUUUGUUAUAUUUAUUUUAUGGAUGAAUAUUUAAUGAUUUUAUAUUUUAUUGGGAGGAUAGAUAAAUUAAAAAAACUUUAGUAAGUAUUAAAUCCAUUAAUUUAUGAAUUUUAAUUAAAUGAAUGAUUUAAUAAAUUUAAGAAGAAUUAAUUACCUUAGGGAUAACAGCGUAAUAUUUUUAGAGAGAUCUUAUUAAUAAAAAUGAUUGC